GACGAACGCUGGCGGCGUGCUUAACACAUGCAAGUCGAGCGGUAAGGCCCUUUCGGGGGUACACGAGCGGCGAACGGGUGAGUAACACGUGGGUGACCUGCCCUCAGCUCUGGGAUAAGCCUGGGAAACUGGGUCUAAUACUGGAUAUGACUCCACGGUGCAUGUCGUGGGGUGGAAAGCCUUGUGCGGCUGAGGAUGGGCCCGCGGCCUAUCAGCUUGUUGGUGGGGUGANGGCCUACCAAGGCGACGACGGGUAGCCGGCCUGAGAGGGUGACCGGCCACACUGGGACUGAGACACGGCCCAGACUCCUACGGGAGGCAGCAGUGGGGAAUCUUGCGCAAUGGGCGAAAGCCUGACGCAGCGACGCCGCGUGA
rnacentral:rRNA from 1 species